AAUCGAAGCAGUGAACUUAAGCCCCAGUAAACGGCGGCCGUAACUAUAACGGUCCUAAGGUAGCGAAAUUCCUUGUCGGGUAAGUUCCGACCCGCACGAAAGGCGUAACGAUUUGGGCACUGUCUCAACAACAGACUCGGUGAAAUUGUAAUUCCGGUGAAGAUGCCGGAUACCUGCGACAGGACGGAAAGACCCCAUGGAGCUUUACUGUAGCUUGACAUUGGGUCUUGGUACUACAUGUACAGGAUAGGUGGGAGGCUUUGAAACCAGGACGCCAGUUUUGGCGGAGCCAUCCUUGGGAUACCACCCUUGUAGUACUGGGACUCUAACCAUAGGCCAUGAAUCUGGUCUUGGGACACUGUCAGGUGGGCAGUUUGACUGGGGCGGUCGCCUCCCAAAAGGUAACGGAGGCGCUCAAAGGUUCUCUCAGUACGGUCGGAAAUCGUACGUAGAGUGUAAAGGCAAAAGAGAGCUUGAUUGCAAGACAUACAGGUCGAGCAAGGAUGAAAAUCGGACUUAGUGAUCCGGUGGUUCGGCGUGGAAGGGCCAUCGCUCAACGGAUAAAAGCUACCCUGGGGAUAACAGGCUUAUCUCCCCCAAGAGUCCACAUCGACGGGGAGGUUUGGCACCUCGAUGUCGGCUCAUCACAUCCUGGGGCUGUAGUAGGUCCCAAGGGUUGGGCUGUUCGCCCAUUAAAGUGGUACGCGAGCUGGGUUCAGAACGUCGUGAGACAGUUCGGUCCCUAUCCGUCGCAGGCGUAGGAAAUUUGAGAAGACCUGUCCUUAGUACGAGAGGACCGGGAUGGACGUACCUCUGGUGUACCAGUUGU
rnacentral:rRNA from 1 species